rnacentral:rRNA from 1 species
CGCGUAGGCUGUUGAGUAAGUCAAAUGUGAAAUCCCCGGGCUUAACCUGGGAACUGCAUUCGAUACUGCUUAGCUAGAGUAUGGUAGAGGGAAGUGGAAUUCCGGGUGUAGCGGUGAAAUGCGUAGAUAUCCGGAGGAACACCAGUGGCGAAGGCGACUUCCUGGGCCAAUACUGACGCUGAGGUGCGAAAGCGUGGGGAGCAAACA